CGUCCACCCAACGGUCGGCAGGCGAUCCGCGUCGGUCGCGCGAGGUGGUAUGGUUCCCCAGAGGCCGGUUCUUGUGCUGCCUACCCGUUCAGGGGAAGCGGGCCACUUGAUGUAAGCCUCCAUCCGGCGCCCUCCAACGGGCGCAGGAGGACAACGGAGCACCCCCCGCGUUCCACCGAGCCUUCGUCGGUCGCGUGGCGCGCGGGGACGUGCGAUGCUCUCGGACCCAGCGAACGCCGUGGGCGAGGACUCACGUCCCAGUCCCGAUAGAAGCUUCGAUAUAAUGCUGACGGCCGCUCCCGCCCCCGACCGCCCCGGCGGCGCGUGGGCGAGGCGCGGCGUCGCGGAGGAAUGCUACCU
rnacentral:misc_RNA from 1 species